GUGCCGGUUAAUGCGGGCCUACGAGGAUGAUUUCCCAACACUCUACACGCACAGACUGCAGGGACCCAGAGCGGUGGAAAGGUACGGGGGAAGAGGAGAGGAAGGAGAAUGGCUUCGAAAUAUAGCCUCUGAUUCCAAUAUCUAACCGCUGAAGUGCCACUUGCCCUGCUCUGUGUCAGCCAGCCGGAGUUAGGCCAACUUUACGUGCAGAUCCUGCCAAAGGAGCCUGUGUGAGACGAUCUGCACAGAACACGUCCUCGCUUCGACCGCAUCAGCCACGCAGGCCCCCAGACCAGGCAAGCAAAAACAAAGGAUGAAAGGGCUCGAGAAGGGGAAAAGAGAGGAAGAAAGGGAGGACAUGCAAGGAAGGAGAGAUGUGACAUUCCAGACAGUGUCUCUGCAGCUGAUGCACCCAUCACUAAUUCAGCCAGCAACAGAUCAUAUGCAGCUGUGUGCGGCGUGCGAUAUCUUUCCCAUCAUCCCUCUCUCCCGCCGUUCCCCUCUCCAUGCGCGUUGCCCAGCUUGGCAGCGGCGGAAAAAGGGGAACACGGAGAGGUCGUGGCUCUGAGACUAGUCUCGCCUGCCGCGGAGCAUGAAGACAUAAAGGAAGGCUUCAACCUCCCUCUCCAGAAGAAUGAGACCUGGGGAUGGAGUCCUCUGUUCAAACAGACGCCGCUCAUUUCAAAUACGGCACUUAAUGGAAAUAAGUGGCAUUACAUUUAUGAAUAAAGAGGAGCGACAGUGUCAAGGAAUUGAUCCUUCCUGAUAAUCGCUGUUGUAAUUAUGGAGAAGUGAUAAUGGAAAUGUCUGUCCUGUUAUUGAAUGUCAGAAGUAUUAGAGGCUGGAUAUCUCCUGCUGUCUCCCUCUCUCUUCUGUAAUAUCACUUGGUCUUUAUUUCCAAUCUCGGGCCUCCUCAGAUUCUUUUGGUGGAAUUAUUUUUAUUAGUUUCACAUUUUAAAUCAGACUCUCUUUUACUCUAGCUAUCUGGCUGCCGCAGGUUAUCGUUUGCUUGAGAUGUUUUGCACAUAGGAGUUUUACCACUGUUUCUGUAUUUCACAAACAUUAUGCAAAAUGCAACAAGCAGUAACUAAUCAAGCAUUAGCUUAAGGUCAAUGUCUUUCCUCUUUAGUGAACAACGUCGAGGACAACAGAAAGAGUAUUCUCCUCUGUAGAUAAUUGGAAAACUACUUCUAUCCCUCUCAGUCAUGAAUUCAGCAUUUUGGAUCGUAAAGAUGCUUGAACAUGAUUGCAUACCAUAAUUAUUUGCAUUAAGCAUACAUUAGGUGAGUGAAUAAAAGAAAGAAAUCUUAUAACAUUUAUGAUUGCCUGAACAAACAUCAUGUGCUCCAUCCAAAAUAAACAGAACUGUCCACAGA